AUACAUGACUAAGGUCUUUAGUCAAAAAUAUUUUAUCUUUUUUUGUUCUUUUUGUGAUGCCUGUGGAAUUCUACUUGUUGUUCCUGGUGGGCUGCUGACCUCCCUCCACAGAGCUCCUGCAUAAAUGCACUUGUGUGCAGCACUCCUUUGACUUUAUGACAUACAUCUUUGUCAGGCCAUCUUUGCUAAGAAUCACAUAUAGAGAUCUUUUGAAUCCCUUAGCAGAUUUUAUUCGCCUCUGUAAUAGUCCAGUCAUAAUAGCAGCUACCACUUAAUCUGGUCAUUUUCUCUAUUAAUCUGCUGCUUACAUAAGGC